UUCUUUUUUAUCACUCUCCUAAAUGAGGUUAAAACACACCAUGUUAACACCAAUAAUAUGUAGAUGUUAAAUUUUUACGUAUAAUGCUCCUUCUUCUUUUUUACCACUCUCCUAAAUGAGGUUAAAACAUACAUGUGAACACAAAUAAUAUGUAGAUGUUAAAUUUUUUACAUAUAAUAAUGCUCUUUCUUCUUUUUUAUCACUCUCCUAAAUGAGGUUAAAACAUACAUGUGAACACAAAUAAUAUGUAGAUGUUAAUGUUGUCACAUGAGAUUAAAACACACCAUGUGAACACCAUCGACUUUUCCUUCUUCUUUUCUUUUUAAAAAUAAUUAUGUACUAAAAGUGAUA
rnacentral:lncRNA from 1 species